rnacentral:tRNA from 1 species
ACCUGGCUGGCUUAGUGGGUAGAGCAUGUGACUCUUGAUCCAGGGGAUUGUGAGUUCAAGCCCCAUGUUGGGUG